GAUCAGUGACUAGAAUCGAAGAAAGCACUUUUUUAACUAUACUUUAUAUAUAUUUUUUGAUGAAUUCUUAGCUAGGAUGAGAGAGAUAUUUGAAGUUGAAGUUAGCAUUUGGAAUCAAAGGAGUAGUAAGAGAUCCAAAUUACUAGUGGUUGUAUUUUGAGCUAUAUCUUAAACAAUUUGAUAAGAUUUUGGUUAAAACUUUCUAAGAAUGUAUAUUUUUAUGUCACUAAACUUUAUACAUAAGAUUUGUAGCAUUUGGAUUUUGAAUUUGUGAGAUAUGAAGAAAAUAGUACUCAAGUACUUGUGAAUUAGGAUUUGAAGCAUUUGCUAGGAUUUUUAAGAUACCAAACGAUUGGUAGUAAAUUUAUGGUUUAUUUUUUUGUAGUAAUGCUUAUGGAUAAAUUCUAUAUUAUUUGUAAAUUUGAAAAAAAUUGAAUGGUUGGAUCAAGAGAUAUGAAUUUCUAAAGUUCAAGAAAAAGAAAUCUUUUGCAAGAAAAAUAAGUUUUGAAGGGGUUUUAUUAUAAUUUGAGCAUUUUAUACAAAGUAAAGGGAUUUUUUGGAAGUCAAGACUUUAUAUAUAUAUUGAAGAUAGAUAUAUAGAGCUAUGAUUAAAUU
rnacentral:lncRNA from 1 species